UACGUAGGGGGCAAGCGUUGUCCGGAUUUAUUGGGCGUAAAGAGCGUGUAGGCGGUUUGGUAGGUCCGUUGUGAAAACUCGAGGCUCAACCUCGAGACGCCGAUGGAAACCAUCAGACUAGAGUCCGGAAGAGGAGAGUGGAAUUCCUGGUGUAGCGGUGAAAUUCGUAGAUAUUGGGAAGAACACCGGUGGCGAAGGCGGCCAUCUGGACCGUAUCUGACGCUGAGGCGCGAAAGCGUGGGGAGCAAACAGG
rnacentral:rRNA from 1 species